ensembl:lncRNA
GUCUCUCCCCUGAGAACUGGGAGUUAGGAAGCUUGAAGGAAGAACUGGGCAUCCCAGUGCCAACUUGCUUGAGCAUUUAUCGAAAGGAGGGAUAGAAAACAUCAUGGCGAUGGAGAAACAGUAGAGCAUGGAGGUAGCGACAGAUUUCCAGCUUGCAUUAAAUGGUAUUAGGAGGAAGGAGCACAGAGCUGUGCUUGUCCCUGCUACCUGGCGCUGGCAGGUGGGUGGAGCUACAAAGUACACUGUAGCUUUUGCUGUUUGAGCUGCUAUUUGCUUGGAAGCGUGGGUACGGCGUGGCUUCUGGGUUAGGUGCUGACGUCCGUCGGCUUUUCGGACGUGAGAGGAGCUGCGAGUUCAGCUGGUGGGCGACCCCACUGGUUUUCGCUGAAGUGGGCGGCGUCCGGAGUUACUUCAUAACUGGAUUAAGCGGAGAUAAAACGACUGGAUGGACCGCAUGUCGAGUGGCGAGAAAACUGCUAGAAGGUCGUCAGCAUUCGGUCUGUCGGAAGCGUCGCCGUGACGUUCGGUGUGUUUCUUGAAUUGCCGGAGGAAAAGCAGAGUAGUUUGAGUAGUUGUUCAUCUGAUGCGCUGACAGACGAGCGGACGAUUGUAGUGAAUGGAAGGUUUUUUCCGGACCUGUGACCUUCCCCGGGGUGUGGACGUGUGUGCGUUGGAGUGAAGGAGGAGAGGACGAAUGUGACCUUUCCCUUGGACCCUAGGAUCCCCUUUUCUCCCCACUGUAUAUAAUCUGCACUUGGUGUUUGUAAAUAAACUCCCUGUUUGAAAGUGAAAACCCGCUCUGCGCUUGAGUCUCCGCUAUCACCUGUGACAUGUUUAAGUUGCUACCAAAGCAAAACAUUUGUGUGCAACCAUUGUCCACUAUUGAAUUAAGUAAAUUCAACAUGUACUUUUUUCAGCGUAUCUUGACUGUGGUUAGCACGGUGGCCUGACACAAAAUGUUCCUGAGUUCAUUUCCAUCAUCAGGGUCUGUUUGUGUGGGUACUCUGGCUUUUGUGUCGUUUUUUUCCAUUUCCAUUUGUAGUGUUUAACAAAUACUGGAUGAAGGUACCAGAGCCAUGACAAUGGUAACACCUAGUGGCAAUUAAAUGUUUUUAUACUUUUAUGUACCACUCCAAGCAGUUUGACUCAAUGGCAAAUUUAGAUGCGUUAACUUGAAGGACACAAUUUCUGUAACUCAAAAAAAUCAGAAAGUCCCUUGAAGUCACAAACUUUACAC